AGUCCUAGCCGUAAACGAUGGAAACUUCGUUUUGGGCAAUAAAAAGUUCAGAAUGGGAGCUAACGCGUUAAGUUUCCCGCCUGGGAAGUAUGCUCGCAAGAGUGAAACUCAAAGGAAUUGACGGGAGCCCGCACAAGCGGUGGAUUAUGCGGUUUAAUUCGAUGCAACACGAAGAACCUUACCAGGGCUUGACAUGUCACGAAAGAAGAUGAAAGUUUUCUGUGCAAAGCGUAAGCAAUGAAUGUGAACACAGGUGGUGCAUGGCUGUCGUCAGCUCGUGUCGUAAGAUGUUGUGUUAAGUCACGCAACGAGCGCAACCCUCGUGCUUUGUUGAAUUUCUCAAAGCAGACUGCUGGUGAUAAAUCAGAGGAAGGUGAGGAUGAUGUCAAGUCAGCAUGCCCCUUACGCCCUGGGCUACACGCGUAAUACAAUGGUCAAUACAAAGAGAUGCAACGGGGCGACCCCGAGCAAACCUCAAAAAGUUGAUCUCAGUUCAGAUUGCAGACUGCAACUCGUCUGCAUGAAGGUGGAAUCGCUAGUAAUCGCCGGUCAGCUAUACGGCGGUGAAUCCGUUCCCGGGCUUUGUACACACCGCCCGUCACACCAUGGAAGCUGACUAUGCCCAAAGUCGU
rnacentral:rRNA from 1 species